GACGAACGCUGGCGGCGUGCUUAACGCAUGCAAGUCGAACGGAAAGGCCCUGCUUUUGUGGGGUGCUCGAGUGGCGAACGGGUGAGUAACACGUGAGUAACCUGCCCUUGACUUUGGGAUAACUUCAGGAAACUGGGGCUAAUACCGGAUAGGAGCUCCUGCUGCAUGGUGGGGGUUGGAAAGUUUCGGCGGUUGGGGAUGGACUCGCGGCUUAUCAGCUUGUUGGUGGGGUAGUGGCUUACCAAGGCUUUGACGGGUAGCCGGCCUGAGAGGGUGACCGGCCACAUUGGGACUGAGAUACGGCCCAGACUCCUACGGGAGGCAGCAGUGGGGAAUAUUGCUCAAUGGGCGGAAGCCUGAUGCAGCAACGCCGCGUGCGGGAUGACGGCCUUCGGGUUGUAAACCGCUUUCGCCUGUGACGAAGCGUGAGUGACGGUAAUGGGUAAAGAAGCACCGGCUAACUACGUG
rnacentral:rRNA from 1 species